rnacentral:rRNA from 1 species
AUUGAACGCUGGCGGCAGGCUUAACACAUGCAAGUCGAGCGGAGAGAGGUAGCUUGCUACUGAUCUUAGCGGCGGACGGGUGAGUAAUGCUUAGGAAUCUGCCUAUUAGUGGGGGACAACAUUUCGAAAGGAAUGCUAAUACCGCAUACGUCCUACGGGAGAAAGCAGGGGAUCUUCGGACCUUGUGCUAAUAGAUGAGCCUAAGUCGGAUUAGCUAGUUGGUGGGGUAAAGGCCUACCAAGGCGACGAUCUGUAGCGGGUCUGAGAGGAUGAGCCGCCACACUGGGACUGAGACACGGCCCAGACUCCUACGGGAGGCAGCAGUGGGGAAUAUUGGACAAUGGGCGCAGGCCUGAUCCAGCCAUGCCGCGUGUGUGAAGAAGGCCUUAUGGUUGUAAAGCACUUUAAGCGAGGAGGAGGCUACUUUAGUUAAUACCUAGAGAUAGUGGACGUUACUCGCAGAAUAAGCACCGGCUAACUCUGUGCCAGCCGCCGCGGUAACAC